GUCCGGCGGUGGCUCGGCCGCCGCGCUGGCCUCGUUCCAGGCGCCGCUGGCGAUCGGCACCGACACCGGUGGUUCCAUCCGCCAGCCGGCCGCC
rnacentral:tRNA from 1 species